UACGUAGGGACCAAGCGUUGUUCGGAUUUACUGGGCGUAAAGGGCGCGUAGGCGGCAAUUCAAGUCAUCUGUGAAAUCUCCGGGCUUAACCCGGAACGGUCAGAUGAUACUGCUUUGCUAGAGUGCGGAAGGGGCAAUCGGAAUUCUCGGUGUAGCGGUGAAAUGCGUAGAUAUCGAGAGGAACACCAGAGGUGAAGACGGGUUGCUGGGCCGACACUGACGCUGAUAGCGCGAAAGCCAGGGGAGCGAACGGG
rnacentral:rRNA from 1 species